AAAAUAACGGAAAAUUUAACGGUUUUAACGUUCAAAUCAAAUUCAAAAGUGCACUGGUUCGACUUAGUAAAUUUAGUUUGGAAACAGAUGAGCUCAGCUCAGAGAAAGUGAAGAAAGUUGAACUUUUGACUGAUAUUGAUAGAAUUUUCAAUAUUUAGAAGAAUUUCUAAAAAAUGGACAAAGUCUUUCCUGAUAAAGCAAGCAAUACGACUGACUUUAGACGGAAGACAGAGCAAACACAGAAAUUUUAGAGUUUGAUAAAGAUUCUGACCGAAACCGAAGACGGAGUCAGAGCCAGAGUCAGAAACAUAGACGUAGACGUAGUUGGCGACUAAGCCAUAGUUUAAAGUCUCAGUCAGAACCAGUGUUAGCACAAAUUUUUAACAAAAAAAAAAUUCUUGAGAAGAAUACAAGAAAAUAUUAAUGAAAAUGCUAGAAGUUAAUAAAGAAAGUAGAAAGCGUCGAAAGUUCUUAAAGACAAUCGCCAUAGUGAAGAGUUCAUUCGACUCUGAAUGUGAACGUUAAUGUGUAAGUGAAGAACUCUAAUAUGAAUGUGGAUGCGACUUGGCUCAGUGAUGGCCUGGUGUCGCUCUUAAUAUUAAACGGUUUUUAAUGGAUUCACUGCUCUUGUUUGCUGUGAAAGUGAUUUCGCCUUUGUGUGAUUGCGUUUUUGUCACUACAUCUGCAGUGGUGUAGUGCACAGCCACAGUCACUGUGCCAGUCACUGUACCAGGCCAGUCGCUGUGAUUGCAACUCGUUUGCCUUUUCACUUUUCGACGACUGUGUUCGUGGUAGGGUUGUUGCCAUUGUGCACUUUAUUGUCUAUGGCGAAGGCACUGAUGUUCAACUUGAAAUUGAAAUUGAAAUUAUAGUUUAAGUUGAAGCUUGAAGUUGAAGUUAAAGUUGCAAUUGAAGUUAAGUAGUGAAUACAAAUUCCAAUCAAGUGAAAAUGUCAUUCUCGCUAAUGCAAUCGACUUAAUUGCCGCAAUGCCGCAAUGCUGCUGCUGACUUGGAUAAAGGCAAACUGCUCCAGUAAGUUUAUGAAUCGAUGCAGGAGUUGAAAAAG